rnacentral:rRNA from 1 species
CGAGCGGUAUUUAUUCUUCGGAAUAGAGAGAGCGGCGUACGGGUGCGUAACACGUGUGCAACCUGCCUUUAUCUGGGAGAUAGCCCUCCGAAAGGGGGAUUAAUAUUCCAUAAUAUAUUAAUUGGCAUCAAUUGAUAUUGAAAGCUCCGGCGGAUAGAGAUGGGCACGCGCAAGAUUAGAUAGUUGGUGAGGUAACGGCUCACCAAGUCUGCGAUCUUUAGGGGGCCUGAGAGGGUGAUCCCCCACACUGGUACUGAGACACGGACCAGACUCCUACGGGAGGCAGCAGUGAGGAAUAUUGGACAAUGGGUGCAAGCCUGAUCCAGCCAUCCCGCGUGAAGGAUUAAGGUCCUAUGGAUUGUAAACUUCUUUUAUACAGGGAUAAACCUCUCCUCGUGAGGAGAGCUGAAGGUACUGUAUGAAUAAGCACCGGCUAACUCCGUGCCAGCAGCCGCGGUAAUACGGAGGGUGCAAGCGUUAUCCGGAUUUAUUGGGUUUAAAGGGUCCGUAGGCGGGCCGAUAAGUCAGUGGUGAAAUCUCGCAGCUUAACUGUGAAACUGCCAUUGAUACUGUUGGUCUUGAGUAAAUUUGAAGUGGCUGGAAUAAGUAGUGUAGCGGUGAAAUGCAUAGAUAUUACUUAGAACACCAAUUGCGAAGGCAGGUCACUAAGAUUUAACUGACGCUGAUGGACGAAAGCGUGGGUAGCGAACAGGAUUAGAUACCCUGGUAGUCCACGCCGUAAACGAUGCUAACUCGUUUUUGGGCACUUGUGCUCAGAGACCAAGCGAAAGUGAUAAGUUAGCCACCUGGGGAGUACGAUCGCAAGAUUGAAACUCAAAGGAAUUGACGGGGGCCCGCACAAGCGGUGGAUUAUGUGGUUUAAUUCGAUGAUACGCGAGGAACCUUACCAAGACUUAAAUGGGAAUUGACAGAUUUAGAAAUAGAUCCUCCUUCGGGCAAUUUUCAAGGUGCUGCAUGGUUGUCGUCAGCUCGUGCCGUGAGGUGUUAGGUUAAGUCCUGCAACGAGCGCAA